AGAGUACAUCUGAGGACCACUAUUUGAGAAAUGCUAUCUGAAGGGGUGAAGUCAGUCUGUGGAAACAUAAAAUGGCCGGGCCCCCUUCUCAUCGAGCUUAGUGAACUCAGACGUUGGUGUUUGACUCACUGAAAAGAGAUGAGGACAGCAGGUGCCUGGAAGCAGCCCCCGAAACCAGCUGGAAGAAACUGUCCUAGGGCAACCUGCUGUGUUCCAGUUCACCUGUCAGGGGCCUGUUGCUAUGGUCAGGGACUGCACUGAACAAGUUCGUGCUUGGCUUUCCAGAGCACAGGAGAGUCCUGACUCUUGUCCAGAGAAGACAUUGGCCAUCUGGGACGAUCUAUCAUAAUUGGUG